rnacentral:rRNA from 1 species
UUUAUGGAGAGUUUGAUCCUGGCUCAGGAUGAACGCUGGCGGCGUGCCUAAUACAUGCAAGUCGAGCGAACGGACGAGAAGCUUGCUUCUCUGAUGUUAGCGGCGGACGGGUGAGUAACACGUGGAUAACCUACCUAUAAGACUGGGAUAACUUCGGGAAACCGGAGCUAAUACCGGAUAAUAUUUUGAACCGCAUGAUUCAAAA